GGCACUUUGGCGGAGUGGUUAACGCGCUGCCCUGCUAUCUUUCUCUGCGAUAGAUAUCGGUAUAGGCAGUUCCCUCGGGAGCGUGUGUUCGAAUCACACAGGUGUCG
rnacentral:tRNA from 1 species